ensembl:lncRNA
GGGGCAUUAAAAAUACUAGUAGAAAGAUUCAGAGGGGCAGAAUUUGGACAAAUGGCUGACAAAGUAUGAGGUAGGGCCAAGAAAGAGGGAAGUAUCUGAACAGCUAAUGCCAGUUUUAGCAGUUUGCAAGGACUGACAAGUCUGCACACCCUGAGCACUGUGUACAUACCUCAGGAAAACUUGGCAAUCUUUGGAAGACAGUCAUGAUGCUACAUGAUGAGGCUGAUAUCACAUAGUUGCUCCAUCAAAUCUAUGUUGUAAUAGUAGGCUGUCCAUGCUGAGAGAAUGAACAAUAUAUAAACCCUUGGUUUUAGAGGAGACUUCAGUUGCCUGGGUACUCCAUAGCAUUUUGACCAGAGAAUCCUCCUCUUGAGAGACAAUUUCAUCGCACAGAAUCUACAGACUUAGUAACAGAGUCCUACCAUUCCAAACAAUGGCAGAAGCUGACAUAGAAAUGGAUAACAUGGCUAAAGAUACUGAAGACACUAUAGAUGACAUUGAAAAAGACACUGAAGAUUUAUCAGAAGAAGAAAGAAGCAAAAUGGAAAAGAAAGCAGCUAAAGCCCGCAGAGAUGUUCAAGAGUUCUCCAGAGUUCGAGAGUUUUUAAAACCCCUCGCUGACAUGGCCAAAACAUACCUACCGAAGGUAGCAAUGUUUAUUGGGCAAAAUAUAGCUAUGGGUGUUAUCUUGUGGGGAGUAAAUAAGGUCCUCAACAAAACAUCCCACCAAGACCCCCAAAAAAGUUCAGAUGUGAAAAAGAAGGUUGCUGCCAUUAAGGCACUCAUCACUGUGAUCAAGACUCAACAGGAUUUAGGUAAGAAGACCUUCGAGUGGAUGAAGGAGCACAAAGAUGAAGUAAUUACCUUGGAUGAGACUGAUGUGCCACUGGAAUCGGUGAUUUCAAAAUAUAUCACACCCAUAUCUGAGUCUGUUGAUGCAGCCUUCAAGAUAGCACAAAAGCUGAAGUACAAGUUGGAUGGAGAAGUUCAGUUCAAUAUCCCGACUGGAGAAGACAUGAGAGAAUUCCUUACAGCUGGUGAUGCAUUUCUCAAAGGCUACAGUGACCUGGUUGCCUUCAUCCCCACAAAGGUGCAGAAGAUUGAACAGCUGGCAACCUUUCCAGUGAAACAGGCAGACAUCGACCUUCUUACAACUCAGCUGAAAGAUGCCAAGCACUUACCUUUGUGGUAAAGAAAUGAGAUACCUUGAUUUGUGAUUACAAGACACAAAAGUCAGAAGAUUGGUUUUCUCCAUAUGAUUUGAGGUCCAGCAAUGACUACAGUCUUUGGUCUGUGGUUUCUGAUUUGUAAAAUAAAAAAUUGUGCCAAGAUUUAAGGACGGGGAAGUUUUCAGAGUUGCAGACCUGUGUUUAAAGUAGAUAUAUAGUGGUUAACUCAUGUAGCCUUCUUUUAUUCUUCUCUUCAACAGUUUUUUCCCGUAUUUGUUCAUAAUUUACAUUACACACUCUAAGAAAUAAAUCUGUAAAAUAAAUUACAUGCAGCUACCUGCUCAAAACAGUUUUACAACUGUCGGUGUAAGAAAGUGCAUUGUUUAUUUUAAAAUGCAGGUUUUCAAUCUCCUUUGCAAAAAAAUAAAAAAUAAAUGAAAAUCCCCCCAAAUUAUGGAGCUGUAGGAGAUAUUGGUUAAUUACAGCUAAUGAGGUGUUGGUUUAGACUGCAGGUAUGAUUCUGUGAGCAGUAUGUCUGCAUGGGAAGCUGGCUCUCUCACACCUGAGCUAUGUUAUGAUAUGUUAUGGUAAUGUAUAUUAUUGACACUGCAGCGUGUGUUUACUAAUGUCAUGUUACUCAGCUUUAUAUUAAUGUCCAAAUUUUUGCUUUUGAAGCUUUGGAAAGGGAAUAAAAAGGUUUUGGGUCUGGAUGCAUAUUAUCACUGAUGUGGUGUCUGAUGUAUUAUUAAACACUGCAACUGCUCUUUGGUCCAGCUGGUCACAUUUCAUACAUCCACCUACAAGAAACAUCUCUUGUGUUAGAUUAAGUUAACUGCAAAUAAUUAAGAAAGAAGUACAAACAGAUAAAACUCUUUGUUUCAACAUUUCUUUGAAAUGUACCAGAGGGGCUAUGAACAGGUGUUGUAC